CAGAGAGAAAGAGCAGAACCUGAUGCCCUUUUGAUGUGUGAGUGGGUGGUGCUCUUUUUCUCCUUCUCUCCAUAGCCCUCUCUCUCUUUAUUUGUUUUGUUUUUUAAUUUUUGGGGUUUCCCCUUCUCCCAAGUCCUCAUUUUCUUCUUUUUUUCUGCCCAAAAACAUCUCUAAACAAAAGCUUCAAACAGCUUAAGGCAGGCUGAUGGAUGAAGGUUCUAGUGGGGUUGCUUGAUCUUGAAAAAAAAAAAUAGCUAGGUUGCUAGCUCCUUGGUUGCAGCUGGCGGCUGUGCGCGGUGAGAAUGCUUUGUGGUGGGGUUUGGAUUAGAAAGAGAAAGAUAAAAGGAGAGUGAGAGGCCUGUAGUGGUGUUAUAUAUGCUGAAGGCUAAGAGGUUAAAGAUAAGGCCCAGUGGAAGUGGAAGAGAUAAUAGUAGUACGAGUUGUUGUGGUGAAGCUUGUGACUGUUGCAAAAACAGCGCAAGAAGAGAGAAACUUAGCAUCAGAUGUUAUCCAUUGAAAACCCUCCACCAGAUCCCCCAUGUUCUUGCCAAUUUCCUCAACUAAAUGGUAGUAGUGAUGAGAGGGCUUCUCAAAAGCUUUCCUUGACAGAGGUAGAUCUACCAAACCCACCCGUCGAUCCUCAUACCCCACUUUCCAAUUUCUCCAUAAGAGAUUAUGUAUUUACAGCCCGGGAUAAAGAUAUCAAGAAGAAUUGGCCUUUUUCUCUGAAAAAUUUGCAGCUUUGUUUGAAACAUGGCGUGAAGGAUGUGUUACCACCAUUUCAGCCUCUUGAUUCAGUAAGGAACCAGUCACUUAAGAGAUGUACGGUAGAAAUCACUCCACUUGAGAAGCAAAACUCUAAAGAUUUUGCUAAGGAGCCCUCUAGGCCUGAAAAUCAUGUGGUACUUGACUUAUCUGAUGAUGCCCAGUUGAAUAAUAAGAUAGCAGAAUCUUGCAUAGACAUUAGUUCAUGUAGAUCUGGAGAAGAUAUUAAUUUUCCAUCCACAGUAACAAGUGUGUCUCAAUCUGAGAUAGAGUCACUUCCUGAUAACAGGCAAUCUAGCUCACUGUUACAAACUGAGACUUGCAAGAAAAUCUCAGUUGCAGUCAAGGCUGCGGGACCUUCUGGGAACAACAAGACUGAGAGUACCUUCCGGCCAUUGAGCAAGAAGUGCAGGUUGAUAGUGAAAUUUGGUGGCAACUCAGAUCGCAACUCAACUGAAGAUAUAGCUUCUAAUUCUACUACUGUAUCAGAAACAAUAAUGGCUUCCAAAGUUUGCCCUGUUUGCAAAACUUUUUCAUCCACAUCAAACACUACCUUGAAUGCUCACAUCGAUCAGUGCCUUUCUGUGGAGUCAACGCCCAAAUGGACUGCUGAUUCUAAGCUAAUAAGACAUAGGAUUAAGCCGAGGAAGACAAGGUUGAUGGUAGAUAUUUAUAUGACUGCUCCACCAUGCACAUUGGAAGAACUUGAUCGAAGAAAUGGUACGAAUUGGGCCACAGCUUCAAGUUUGCCUACUCAGGAAACCGAGAAAACUGAGACUACAAAUGAAGGGAAAAAGCAAAGGGUGUCACAGAUUCAUCCUGAGGACGUUGGUGAUGUAGGUCCCGUUUAUAUUGAUGCAAAUGGCACCAAACUUAGGAUUUUAUCCAAGUUUAGUGACCAACCUUCAGUUUCAAAAGUAGGGAAGGAUGUUGGAGCUAGGAAACCUUUUAAAGGAGACAAAGGAAUCAAAUACAUUUUAAAAAAGAAGAAAAAAUGGCUCGCACAAAAACAUCAUAAGUAUAUGAAGCUUGCUCCUCAAAGCAAGAAAAUUUUCUCCCACAAGGCCCAUGGCUCCCAGGUACAGCUCUAUUGCUUUCUAAAUAUGUUUCAGUUUCCCUUUUUCUAAACAAUUUAUGCAUCUUCCAGAUGGAUUGCCUUUAACCAUUUCUGAGACCAAAGAAUUUGAGCAUUUAUUAGACCAACUACUUUACCUUUUUUGGUUUAUUAGUAUGGUAUACUUUAUGAUGUUGUAUUUUGGAGGUGCAAUAUAGAUGUUGGACGCUUCCAGCUGUUUUGGAUUGACUCCAUUAUGCUUGGGCCUUAGCUCUUUAAUAUUGGGAAUUGGUUCCAUACAAAUUCCUGAACAUGCACAAACAAGCUAGAACAAUAUAAUUUUCACUUCUUUUCACCCUCAAGCCCAUUUAAAUAGUGCUUACUUCUGAUGCAUUAUGCACUUUGAAUUGCUAGUCUUUAGUUACUUUUUUAUGCAAAUUCAGCAGAAUGAAUGUUCAUUUAUAUAUGGUUGUCAAAAUUACUGUAAUCAGAUUUCUCGAGGUCAAGAGGAAUGUAAAGGAGAGUCUAGAAGUAGUGAGAAAGAACAUGUAAUGUCAAAACAAGCCAAAUCCAGUGAUUCCAGGACUCUAAGACCAUGGGUUUGCUCCAAACGAAGAGGUUUUUCAAAGAAGAUUACUAGUCAGGAGGACCAUCAACCUGUGAGAUGUAAUUGGCAUUUGCUUUCUGAGAGGAAUCAUGUUCAGAAAUUUACCAAUCAGUCUGAGAAUCCUGUAUCUUCUUCUGGAAACAAUGGGAGGAUGAAGUCAUUUCAUAAAGUCCUAGUUAGCAACAAGAAUGAGCAGUCUCCUGGUAGAAAAGGGGUGGGUAAUUUCUCGUUGGAAGGCAAGACCAGUGACAAUGUGGAGAGCUUUUCUCCAUCAAUGAGAGCAAAUUCUAAUCAACUGGACAAAAGUGGAACUCCUGUGCAUUCAAGUUGUAUGCCAAGGCCUUUAAACUCUACCAGGAAUUAUGCAUCUUCGCUGAGCAAGAAGACAGCUAAUACCCAUGAAGAUACAACUGAUAAUGCAGAUAUUUAUUGUGUUGCUAGCACAAAAUCUUCACGGAAUGCUCAUGCAAUUGUAACUAAAGCAAUGGAAUUCUCCUCUAGAAAUUUCAAAGGCCUGUCUUCUGUGACUGAAUCUGUGCCUGGUAAAAUUAAUAAGUGUUCAGCCAUUAAAAAGUCUAGAGCAUGUUUCAUGAAAAAAAGAGACGAAGGGGCAGUGACUUGGCAUUCUGAAGUUGAUCAACAAUAUGAUUUGAUCCAUGGAGAUGCAGAAAAUCAAGUUGAAAGCGAAGAAAUAGCUGAUGAGGAGUCUCAUGAGAGAAGCCUUGCCCUGGAAACUAGGCAAGCAAGAGGAUUGUCAUGUAUUUCCCAAGGGGAGAAAGCAUUGGCUUUGAGGAGCUCAAUAUCUGCAACUUCAUGUUAUGAUCGUGAUGUUCAGGUAAAUGCAGAUUCUUCAGUUGGAAUUGGUGAUGAUUUGCUACAGAAAGUCGAUUAUGUAGGCUCUGGUAGAGAACAGGUUCAUAUCUAUAUGGAUGACAUUGUUGUUGAGCCAUCUUCUAAGACUUAUGAUGGCAGGAACUCAAGCAGCAUAAUUAAGUCGGUAGACUCAGAAUUUUACAAGCUCAGUAAUUCCUCGAAGGUCCAAUCUAACUCUUUUCGAUCUUUUGAAAAUUACGGAGGGCUUUUAUGUAGGAAUGAAGUGCCAAGAGGUCCAACUGAGUCUGAUUUUGUCAAUGACCGAGAGAUAUUUUCUGCUGAUGAAGCUGGCAAUGAUAUGGUGGGACAAGAUGCUGAUAUAGGGGUGGAGUUGGAUUCAGAAGCUGGGCAAGGCAGCUCUUUUCCGGAUGUUGAUCCAAUACCUAUUCCAGGACCACCAGGGUCAUUUUUGCCAAGUCCUAGGGGCAUGGGUUCAGAUGAUUUUCAAGGAAACUCUUCCCUUACCACAAGCCGGGUUCAUUCUUCUCCAGAUCAACACGACGUUGUUGAUGGAGAUUCGUCUGAUUCACCAAUAUCUGCAGCAUCCACUAUCUCUAACUCCACAGCUGGUAGAUCUGAUUUCAAUUACACUGAACCAUCAUCAUCAGUGGAACCUUGUAUUAUUCAAGAGAAGAUUAAGUCAACAGGUGCUAGUGUUGAGCCUUCAGUACAAAGUGCUGGUACUGUUCCACAGGCAACAGGUGCAGACGUGGAAAGAACUACUUUUUAUGGAGAAUAUAUGAAACAAGAUAGGAUCUAUAUUGAGAAGCGCUUUCUCAAUUUCAAGAAUGAUCAGCCAUGCUGUUGCCAAAAGAAGGAGAGAUUUUCUCAGGGUGUUGCUUUAAAUUUUCAAGAUUCCCAGCUAUUAAGACGACGGAAAAUGGAUUCAGUGACUGUUCCUUCUAGCAGAAAGCAUAUGGAUUUCAAUUCCAACUUAAGGCCUGCAGAUUUGGAUGUGAGGCCUGAAUUAGCUUCUCCAAGCUGUUGCACAAAUUCAGGAUCCGAGAAGGUGAUUCUCCCAGGCAUUAAGCCCCUUGCAGGUCCCAUUUCUUAUAAGGAUUCUCCCAAUUCAGGAGUGAGAUUUUUAGGUCAUGCUGAUUCUGAUUCUGCUAGUCCAUCUGCUUCCAAUCUUAUACUUCGGCUGAUGGGAAAGAACUUAAUGGUGGUUAACAAAGAUGAAGGUACUUCUGUGCCACUUGGGGGUGUCCAACCAUGUGCGCAGAAUAACCAUCAAACUUCUCCAUUUCUGACUUUUUCCAGAGUCUCUCCUGGCAAUGUUCAGAAUCAGGACUGCCACCCCUUACAUCAUAUGGGCUGCCAAGGUUCUGUCAUCUUUAGUGAGAACUCACAUAAAGUAGGUCGAGGCUUUGAUGGGGGGUUGUCGAACAAUUUUAGAAGCCAAUCUGAUUCAAGGUUACCUGUACAUGUCCGACUACCAGCAGGCAUGUUUCAAGACCAACAUACAGAUUGCAGUUUUGCAACAUCCAUGGAGUGUCAUGAGUACAAAGGUGAUUACAAUAUUUCAAGCCGACAUAAUAGGCUAAAGAACAGACUAAAUGUGUCGCCUACAGAUAAUAUGGAGAAAGUUAUAACACCACCUGACCGCCAUUGUCAGCGUACAGAUUCCUCCACAAAUCCAGUAAAGGAAAUCGUCAUCAUUGAUGACGUCCCUGCUACUGAAAAUGUUGUGUUCAGGGAUGUUGCGAAGUAUACUGAAGGUGGGAGGGGAAGUCAGGUUAUUACUUCUGGCUUCUCAAUUCCAACAGCUCCAAAUUAUAACCCAAAUUGUGUGCUUCCUUUUUCUUGUUAUCAGUCAGAGGAACAUCCUUUCGUUGGUGAAUCACCUAUCGUGUGGAACACUGGCUUUCAUGGAACCCCCACAAAGCUAAGCAACUCAGGUCCCGUUAGUUGGGGAUGUACUUCAGAAGGUUCUGGGGUGCUGCAGCAUAGUCCUUUUACAUCUGCAUCAUCCUCACCUGGUCAUCUAAGAUCUGCGGCACUGCAUUAUUCUCCAGGCUUUUCAUAGUCAAAGUACUUUGGCUUGCAUGGCCAUUUCUGCAAAAUUGUGCUUCGAUGAAACAAGUAGAGGACUUGAGCUUCUAACACCGACUACCAGGUGUCAGGGUUUGAAAAUGGCUCUAUAGCAGAAAAAAUGGCAGUUCGUUCAAAGACAGCCUGCAUAAGCUAUAAGCGGCUGGGGACUUGCAGAAACGUUUGUAUUCAUUUCUAAUCCACUGAAUGCUGAGUCACAUUUUAAGCAGUUUUUUAGGGUUCUGCUUAGGCAAUCUAAAAGUUUCCGAAAUAUUAGAUAAUGUAUAAGAAAUCCUUGAAUAAUAGUUGACAAGGAACCUUGGCUGAAAGACAAGAAGUCAAAUGUUCCUAUAAAGAAGUUCCCUUCUCACCUUUAUUUUUCUUUUUAUGUUAUGUCAUUUUUACAUUAUACCUUUCAUCUGAGCUAAAGCCAAGUAUUGCCAUAAAGAAAUUC
rnacentral:misc_RNA from 1 species